CCAUGUUGGCAGAUAAAUGCUGUUGAUUUAAGCUCAACCCAUGAAACUUAAGUUUCACAUGGCACA
rnacentral:tRNA from 1 species